rnacentral:lncRNA from 1 species
ACUACCCAAAUACCCCACUUAUCCAUCUCUUACCCGUUUCUCUCUCUAUAUUAUCACCAUACCCAUACCAUGCUCGUCCUCAUUAGCCAAGACCACCUUGCAUACCCACAAAGUUCAUCACCUAUUGCUCUUCAUACCAAACAUCUUCCAUUUCAUCAAUCACCGAAAACCCUUUUUCUCACUGUUUUAAUGUUCCUUUCUUACCAAUCCUCUUGCCAUCUCACCCACGUCUACGUUACCCAUGCACGCAUGGCUGCCCAGGUUGUUGUGAGUCUCCUCUAAGGUCCCGAAUCUACCUAGCCUUCAUAGUGGCAGUAGGAGCAUAAAAAAAAAAGAAAAGAAAAGAGGAAUGUAUUGCAUGGUAGGCCUGAAACUAUUUGAAUAAUUGGUGAAUUAAAAUUCAAAGACAUGAGUUUUUUAUACUAUUUUUUAUUCUUCAUUAGUGGCAUGGUUCCAACAGGCUUCAAUGUGGUUUGUUAUUAUUUUUUUUCUCCUUUCUCCCACGUGCCAUCUUCUUAAUUCCACUUUACAUGUUAAAAUUUUCAUUUUUUUUAAAAGUUCUGUUAUCAAAUAAUUCUUUUGAAAUCCCAACGUUUCAAAUUCAUUCAUUUAUUCAUUUAUUUUAUCUAUUUUAUUCAUUUAUUUUUUUAUUUGUCUAUUUAUUUAUUUAUUAUUUUAUUUAAGAAUAUAUAUAUACACGUAUCCUUUCCAAAAUAAUCUCGUAAAAUGUGAUUUUUAAAUUUAUUUCACGAAACUUCCGAUCUAAUAUUCAAUUUUCCAAAACUCCAAUAUUUUAAAUUUAAUUUUUCAAAAUUCAUUUCUCAAAAUAAUUUUCUAGAACUCUAACUUUAAAUUUAAUUUUCCCAAAAUUCAAAUUUUCAGUUCCAAUGUUCCAAAAAUUCCACUAUUCUCUUUUUUAUUCGUUUAAACAUUAUCUUUGUUAAUUAGUAUCAUUAUUCCGUGUUUAUUUGUUUAUUUAUUUAUUUCAAUCAUUAAAGUCUAAUUCUUCAAAAUCCCAAUUUUCUUUCAAAUUUAAUUUCUAAAAGUUCUCAUUCUUACAUCUAAUUCCUAAGAAUCCAAUUUUCAAAUAAUCUCUAAGAUUCCGAUUCUCAAAUGAAUUUCAAAAAUCCAGUUUUCCUUCAAACAAUUUUAAUCCCUGUUUAGUGACGCAUGUGAUAUGUUUUGUGCUCUAUAUGGUGUACUAACCCUCUCUAUUGAUAGCACAUGGUGGCUCGUGGCCCAGGUAUGUACCCAUUUUCCCUUUAAUCGUUGUCUAUACAUGUCUCGAUUCUUGUGUGUGCAUGAUCAUUCAAGAUAUUCAUUGAUUUACUCAUCAAUUGCCACGUCAGCUUCAUUUUAUUAGUAGAGACCCGACUUUAGAGACUUAGAGGGGUGCUACGGUUUUUACCGUACCUUCCCGAUAAGUAACCUGACCCCCGAACCCGAUCCGGUUUUUCGUAGACUAACCUUUUCCAAAACAAGGAGUCACACUUAGGGUUUUUCUUUCUUAUUUUGUUUACCCUUUUAAAAAUAAAACAUAAAUAAGUGGCGACUCCAAGUCAUUUUUUUUUUAUCAAUGAAUCAAUUUUUCAAAAUAAAAAUCGAGCUCGCCAUUAAGUGGGAAACGCAUUGAGAUAGAUCGAAAUGCGAGGUCCAAAAAAUAGUGACUCCACUGGGGAAUCAUUUAGAGGGUCAAGCUUGAACUUAGAGUGAAGCAAACGUGGCAUUCGAUUGGACGAUCAGUGGAUGCUCAUCUCUUGAUUGCACAUUGAGGAUUUCUUGAUGCAUGCUUAGAUGUCAUAUUCAUUUGAGAUUUUGGCGUGCUGGAUUAUUGAUGAUUGAUCUUAUUACCUUGCUUAGCACAUUGAUUCUGAUUCUGUUAUGAUUGUUCUGAUCACUUCACAUGCAUACACUCACCCUUGUAUAUCACUUAGCUUGACAUGUUUAUUCUCUGACUUGUGUAUUAUCUUGAUCGUCUUUUGAGCAUGAUGUUCGUACCGUUAUUCAUCCUGAUAGUUGUAGAUUUUUGUGUGGACAUGAGUGAUAUAUCCUGUACUCUGCUUGACUGUAUGAUGCAUGACUGCCCUCCCUCUGCAUGAUUGCAUGUCGCUUGUCUAUGUGGGUCGCAUAUCUAUCCCCUUACCUCCAAAUCUCUUGGUUUCAGUCAUUCCUUUCAUCUCGAUUCUCACUAUUGCAAGUGUGAGACCUUCUGUGUGUUUGCUCUCUGACCAAACCAGAGAUUAGGAGUAGGGUCUAGCGACGGGCUAUAUCGAUGCACGGGAGCAUUUUGGAGGAGAACGACACUUUGAUGUCGAUUGGAGUCCGAUCAUUGAAGACCUGUAUAGCCCGGAGCUAGGUUUCAUGGAUAUUUGUGCGACCAGUGUGUUUCAUCUUUCUGUUUUAGCUUCCUAGGGUUUUCGGAUGCACCCACACCAUCACUAUGCACUCUAGUUGACUAUUGAGCGUUGAGAAUUUGAGAGGUUUCACCAUAGGAAACCCCCUGGGACGUCGAGGUAGUGCAUGUGUGGAGGUGAUGACCACCUUGCAUGGAAGCGCCCCGUCUCUUCGAAGGCGUGCAGAGGGUUGCGUACCGCCGGAAGGUAUGAUCGCUUCUACUAGGGAUCCUCUAAAGUCCACCCAUAUCCAUUUAGAGCCACCUUCACCUUGUAGAUUGAGCCGUAGAUCAUUCGAUUAGGACUCCCUCCCUACACGUGGGUGCAUCUGAGGUCCUUCAGAGCCUCUUUAAUUACAGUUCGGAUCCAGUAUUCCCUCUUUUUAGUCUCCAGUUGAGAGUGCUUGGAGAUCGGUAUGAGUUUGAGUAUUGGUUGGAUCACCUUUCGUCUCGUUGCCUUAGUUUGUGCUUUUUACUCGAUGAGUUUGUCAUGCUUUCCUCCUAGGGCUUUCGUUUUUCUUUCUUGGCUCGACACAUCCUUUCACUUUGUUGACACUUACUUGAUGCUUCGGGAUAUGUUCAUCGAUCAUGAUCGUCUUGUUUUUGCAUUAUACACCUAUCACGGGCUCAGUACCUUAUUUUUUGUUGGAUCCUUGAUUCAAUUUUCGACUCGAUGCUCAUAUUUUCAUUACUAGAAAGGUGAAAGAAGCAUUUUCAUAUUCACACUUUUUCUAGAGAGUUGCCUUGAUCACCUUACCAUUUUUUUCUCUUAUGGAGCUUGAGUCGAAAGUUGAGUUAAAGAUAUGUGUUUAUUGAUGGAGUACCGAUCUCGUGAUAGUGUGUUUUUCGCACCUCUUUUAUCUCGGAUUAUUGAUGGAGAUUCUUUGGUCACAUUUGUAGCCAUCUCGCAGUGGAUAUCUUUAUGACCUUAGAGUUUCUGUCAUAUUUCCAGUUAUAGAUUGCCAUCACAGGACCAUAUAUCAAAUGAUGUGUUGUACUUUUGACUUAGGGCAUUUAUUCAUUUGCACAUCACGAUCACUCUGGCCUGACCUAUCAUGGAGGAUAUUAAGCCUAUUGACCUAGGAUCAGGAGAUCGACCUAGGGAGUUCGAGACUGUGACCCAUUUCACCUUCCGUUCAGAGCAGUACCAUAUCCAUAUCCAUACCCUGACUCUGUGGACUUGUCGACCUACUCAUUUUGAGCCUGACAUGACACCACCCCUUGGUACCAUUACACGACUUUACUACCUUUGUUCGCCUUAUCAUGCUACAAUACCAUUGCCUUUCUUUUCCAUUAUUUCCUUGAUCUGACUAGGUAGAGUCCGAGAUGGCUAGACCCGAGGUGAGCUUUACACGAUGAUAGAUAGAUCAUGAUGAGAGAGUGGUUUGACUGUUUGGCGAUAUUGUUGAGAUAGAGGGGUUAUCAUGGAGCAUCCAGAUUUGAGCCAUUACACAUGACUUCAGAGAGUCGGGAUGAUUAGACAUGGUGAUUUUAUGAGAUGAUGGUGAGUGGCUUGUGAUGAUAGAGUGAGUUGAUUUUCAGAGUACAUUGAUGGUUGUCAUAGAGCAUCAGUGGGAGCUUUCGCACGAUUUCAGAGGAGUCGCCAUGACUAUGUUGGAUGGAUGCCAGUCUUUAGUAUUGGCCAUGUGAGAUCUCGAGAGCACAAUGUUCGAGGUUUUGGUCAAAUGAUGGGUGGCCAUCAUUUCAUGAGCCUAUUUACUUUAUCACCCUCACAUAUAGAGUUACCCGUUGCUAGCCCUUUGAGCCUCACACGAGCACAUAACCUUUUCUUUCAUCACUUCAUUUACCUAUUACACCGGGUUGGGGACCCUGUAGUGCUUGCAUGCUAUGUUUGGAUACGUCAUGAGUUCCAGACCUGACACACUUGUUCGAGCCUCAUUCUUCACUCUUCACUGUGAUAUUUUCCACUUGGACAUCAUUUCAUCACUAUUUUUCUUAUAUCACAUAUCAUCACUUGCGAUAUUCGUUCUCUGCCUUUUUUUUCAUUAUUGCUUACUCGACAUUAUCCGUGUUUCACCUUGAGUGGUGGUUUUUCACACGUCACUACAUGGAGGAUUGUCACAUUCUUUCCUAUCAUUCACCCCAUGAGCAGUGGUUCAGAGAUGUUAUUUUGAGAGGUUGUCUUGUUGGUGAGGAUUCAUGUUACAUUCAUAUGUGGAGAGGGUUUGAUCAUUUGGGUAUGUAUUUUCAUGGGAGUUCAUUCAUUAUUGAUCAGAGUAUGCGCCAAAAAAAAAAAUAAAAAAUAAAAAUAAAAAAAAAUGAAAAAAAAAAUAUAGCUCAUUGUUCAUUUUAUCGUUCUUCAUUGGGCAUGUGUAUGGACGUGCUGGGUUGUUAGAGAGAGUUCGUAUGAGAGCUUCUUUAUGAGAUUCAUCUUGAUGUAUAUUUUGGGUGAGAGUAUGAGUCAUCCAUUCGAUUUUUGUGAGAGAGACGAGCGACCUUUCUUUAGUAUCUCUGGGUCCCUGUUCUAUCCAUCAUUCCAUUUAUUUUGGAUGUGACUACUUUCUAUGCUUUGAUGCAGGUUGACCAUCACUCAUUUUUCUAUCUCUUUGUUUUCUUGUAUCUUUGUUUCGUUCCUCCAUUCCACCCUAGCUCUUCUGAUUUCUUUCUUUUCUCAUCCUGCUUGAUGUUUGACUUGGGAUUGGUACACACACAUCAUACUUGUUCAUUCGAUGUGACUGAUUACUACCAAAAAGUGCUAUUUUGUAGACCUAAUUAUAAUGGUUUUAAGCACCUUUGUGUAGUAAUCAUAUUCAUUUAACCCAAUUAAUUCAUUAAGGUCCUUAGUAAUUGGUUUUAACCAUUUUGUGGCAAGUUUACAUGUUUUUAUCAGCUUAUGAAUCAAUUCAAGCAUGCCAAAUGAUGGAGGAGCUACUUGGACAAGUUAAAGCAAGCUUUUAGCUACACCAAAUCAAGCCAACAAAAGGAGAAAAGCAAAGAGAAGCAAAGAGAAGCAAAAAGAAGCAAAGAGGAAAACAGAGGACAGCAGCUGCAGUCUUCUUUGGCACUUUUGGAGCACUUCCCGAAGUCCAUUUUCUACAUGCUAUAUACCAUUUCAAAGCUCAGAAAGUCAAGAAUCCAACGGUUCAAACCAUGUAUGAUUUGGAGCUGAAAUGAGAAAGAUAUGGCCUUCGGAAGACAACUGCAUCAAGCUGAGGGACAAUUUCGCACACCACUGUGCAAGGUGCGAAUUCCUCAGUCCACUGUGCGAAAAUUUCGCACACCUCAAAUCAAAGUGCGAAAUUGGAACUCCAACGUGCAAAUCUUCCCCUAUUUCUGCCGACUCCACACGAGAUCUUUUCUUUUGGAUAUUUUUGUAUAAAUUUCCAUUCUUCUCCUUGUAAUCCACCAAUCAUGUAAUUUCUUAGCUAGGAAGGUUGGAAAAACUUCUCUAUAUAUAUUCCCUUGCAUCCAUUGUAAUAGAUAAUCGAUCAAUAUAUAGAAUAUACAGAGCCUUGCUCUGUUUUUCUCUCUUCUCCUGUUCUUCUCCUGUUUCUAUUUUCUUAGUAGCCAAACAGCCUCUAAGGGCUUUUCCUCAAAGGAUGAUUGGCUAAAACUUUUAGUUUCUCAAAGUAUGGAUGUUAUGUGAUGGCUUGGAUGCAAUCCCAUGGAAAUUUCUCGCACCCGGAAGGUAAGGUAGUCGUUUUUCAUUAAAGGUUCAUUAAUGCAAAGUUUGGUUUUUAUUUCUUUUGGACAACUUCCAACGGCCAAUACUUGAUAAGCUUUUGGAUUUCUAUCCAUUAGUUAUCUCCUACGAGCUAUUGGAAUGUGAGGUUUUCAAUUCCAAGUUUUGCAUUAAUCCGUUAGAACCAAUUUCAAUGGCCAUUGAAAGGUGAGUUUAUCACCUGGAAUGACUUUGAGUUGCCAAUAUUUGGUAAGCUUUUGGCUUUAGACCAUUAGUUAUCUCUUACGAGCCAUUCAAAGGAAGUCUAAGGCGAAUAACCAUUGAUGAAAUUCACUACCAUCUGUUUUGCCAUUUUAAAGGAUUAAAACUUGAUUUGCUAAAUCCAUACCGGUUCGGGAAGCAAGCAUCACCAUAGUUGCAACCCCAACGCGAGGAGCCUAUCCUGAGAUUUCCAAUUUGCAUAAGAGCCAGAGCAUAGCUAUCCUAUCUUUGAGAAACUUGUUUUUACACUCUUUCAUUUUAGUCUUUAAUGUUAGCUUAGAUUAGUUUAAAUCUUUCUAAAACAUUUACAUCUUCUUUUAAAGCUAACAUCCAUAAGAAAAUCACUUAUUUUCCUAAUUUGAAUAUCACUAGUGUUUGCGAAAACCCUUCCCAGUGAACGAUCCUAGAACCACUAUGCUAUAGUAGCUUGGCUACUUUAGUAAUAGUAUUCAAGGUAUAAAUUUUGUUGAUACGCCUUUAAAGCUAAGCUACCAUGAGUCGAAUCAGUGACCAUUCAUUUAUCAUCACUUUUCGUGUGGGGAUCCCUCGGUCCGGGACUCAUGACAUUUUCUACGCAUUGCAUCUCAUGCAUGAGGGGUAUGGGGAUUAUAUCAUUGGGAUCUUUGAGCCUAGUUUCCUUUCAUUUCUUUCACCUUAUUACCUUAGCCUACGUUACGUCUCGAGUCUGAAGACCACCCUGAGGUCAUUACUUCACAUUGUGUUUGACAGCUCACACGUGGGUAAUACUCGAGAUUAGUCGGAGAUUAUUCCUCGGAGCAUGAUGGAUGGGGAGUUGAGAUGAUGAUUUACACUGGGGCAUACCCCUAUUAUCAGUGAUGGAUUUUCAGAGGCGCCGUUAUCUACACUGGGGCAUACCCCGCUCAUCGAUGACGUUUUCUUUCGGGAUGAUGCUUUGCAUUGAGGCAUAGUCAGUUUGCUUCUUCACUUGGGUUAUGAUGGAUUAGGAGUUGCGGGAUGACCUUACACUGGGGCAUAGCCACUUCAGAGAGCACUUUUAUUGGAGAUACAGUCACUCUACUCAAUACUCUGCAUUGGGACACACUCUACUCAUUGAUGGUUGAUUAUUGAGAUGACGAUUUAUUUUGAGGCAUGACCUUCUCAUUAGUGACAGACUUUGAUUUUUCAUUGGAGCAUAGUCACUUCAGAUGGUUUAUACUGGGGCAUAGCUAGUUCAUUCGUACUCAUAGAGCUCGGGGAUUCUGAUUCAUAUGGAUUAUGUUGAGAGGUUCCCAUUUUUAGCACCAGGAGUAGAGAUUGAUUGAUUUGUUGACUCGGAUGCAUUGCUUUACUCUAGGGCAUAGCCGGGAUGGAGAACAUUUCUCAUUGGAGCAUAGCCACCCUACUUGGAUCCUUUACACUGGGGCAUGUCCAUCUUUUGGAGGGAGAUCAGGUUGGUUCUUGACAUUGGAGCAUCUGACGAGUGAUAUGGAGAUCAUUGGAUUAUUUCAUGUUGUCCUCAUUGCAUACUGGGGCAUAACCGCCUAGUUGGAUGUUUUGACAUCAAGAUUUGACUUCCUGUUUGUGAUUACUGCUUUUCGAUGGAUUAUGGAGCUCUUGAUACCUCGGGUCUAGUCUUCUUGGCAUACUUGGGUGAUCUCAGAUACUUACAUACCUUUCAUUUUACACUCAGACAUUUCAUCCUGGAUGCUCUCAUGCCUUCCAUCAUACUAGAGCCUGAUCAUCGCCUUAUUUUAUCCUACGCAUCCCACCGUGACACAUGACCUCACCCUUUUCUCGAUUAGGAGGAAGAUGUAGAUCAGUCCUCGAUCACCUUGGUUGUGUUUUCAUACAUUCUUUUGGACUUUGGGUUCAACAUCUUCCAUGAUAGCAGGACUUGACAGAUUGUUGACUUAUCAGUGACGAUGCUUUCAUUUUGAUAGUUGGCACGAUGAGUGUUGAUUUUGUUUGCUCUUUGCAUUUCGAGCAUUGGUCAUCAUUGUUUUAUUCAUCAGUUUUUUUUUUGUUUUGUCAGCACGGUAUCACGAUGCAUGGUCCUGUUUGGCAUUACUUAUUUGAGGUUGGACAUUUUCGUUACAUGAUGGAUGAGCAUAUCUCAGAGUACAGUAGUUUUGAGUCAUUUUGCAUCUCUGUCUGUUCAUCAUCACAUACUGGGGCAUAACCCCUCUCCAAGAGCAUUAGACCUUCCAUAGGUUUCAUUCACUUUUUGAUCUAGUUGUUGACUCCCUUGAGUUGCAUACUGGGGCAUACCCUCCUUUUCUAGCCUUCUUUAGGAUCAUCGGACCUUUCACAUGUUUCACUAUCUUUUGACCUAGUUGUUGAUCCUCAUGAGUUGUCAUACUGGGGCAUAUCCUCUCCUUUUGAAUUUGCUUGCAUCGUUAUCCUGGAUAUCCUUUGGCUUUGGGCUACUUGAUCAGAUCACCAUCAUGUCAGUUCACUUAGAGUUCGGGACCGUACCUAUAUCAAUCGGUCAUCAUCUUAUCAGUUUCAGUUCAAGUCAGGACCACACCUAUAUCGAUCGGUCAUUCGUCGUGUCAGUUUGAGUCGGGACCGCACCUACAUCAAUCGGUCAUCAUCUUAUCAGUUUCAGUUCGAGUCAGGACCGCACCUAUAUCGAUCAGUCAUUCGUCGUGCCAGUUUGAGUUGGGGCCGCACCUAUAUCGAUCGACCAUCUUCCUAUCAUGUUCAGUUCGAGUCGGGACCACACCUAUAUUGAUCGGUCAUUCGUCGUGUCAGUUUGAGUCGGGGCCGCACCCAUAUCGACUGGUCAUUUUCCUAUCACUUUCAUGUUCAGUUCGAGUAGGGACCGCACCUAUAUCAAUCGGUCAUCAUCUUAUCAGUUUCAGUUUGAGUCAGGGCCGCACCUAUAUCGAUCGGCCAUCUUCCUAUCAGUUCAGUUCGAGUCGGGACCGCACCUAUAUCGAUCGGUCAUUCAUCGUGUCAGUUUGUGUCGGGACCGCACCUAUAUUGAUCGGCCAUGUUCCUAUCACUUUCAUGUUCAGUUCGAGUCGGGAUCGCACCUAUAUCAAUCGGUCAUCAUCUUAUCAGUUUCAGUUCGAGUCAGGACCGCACCUAUAUCGAUCGGUCAUCAUCCUAUCAGUUUGAGUUUGAGUUGGGGCCGCACCUAUAUCGAUCGGCCAUUUCCUUGUCAUGUCAGUUCAGUUUUUGGGACCGCACCUAUAUCGAUCGGUCAUCAUCCUAUCAGUUUGAGUUUGAGUCGGGGUCGCACCUAUAUCGAUCGGCCAUUUCCUUGUCAUGUCAGUUUAGUUUCUAGGAUCGCACCUAUAUCGAUUGGUCAUCAUCUUAUCAGUAUGAGUUUGUGUUUUCGGGGCUGCACCUAUAUCAAUCGGCCAUCUUCCUAUCAGUUCAGUUUCUGGGACCGCACCUAUAUCGAUCGGCCAUCUUCCUAUUAGUUCAGUUUCUAGGACCGCACCUAUAUCGAUUGGUCAUUAUCGUGUCAGUCUGAGUCGGGGCCGCACCUAUAUCAAUCGGCCAUCUUCCUACCAGUUCAGUUUCUGGGACCGCACCUAUAUCGAUCGGUCAUUCAUCGUGUCAGUCUGAGCCGGGGCCGCACCUAUAUCAAUUAGCCAUCUUCCUACUAGUUCAGUUUCUGGGACCGUACCUAUAUCGAUCGGUCAUUCAUCGUGUCAGUCUGAGUCGGGGCUGCACCUAUAUCAAUCGGUCAUCUUCCUAUCAGUUCAGUUUCUGGGACCGCACCUAUAUCAAUCGGUCAUUCAUUGUGUCAGUCUGAGUCAGGGCCGCACCUAUAUCGAUCGGCCAUCUUCCUAUCAGUUCAGUUCGAGUCGGGACCACACCUCUAUCGAUCGGUCAUUAUCGUGUCAGUUUGAGUCGGGGCUGCACCUAUGUCAAUCGGCCAUCUUCCUAUCAGUUCAGUUUCUGGGACCGCACCUAUAUCGAUCGGUCAUUAUCUUGUCAGUUUGAGUUCGGGUCUGCACUUAUAUCGAUCGGUCAUCAUCCUAUCAGUUUGAGUUUGAGUCGGGGCCGCACCUAUAUCGAUCGACCAUUUCCUUGUCAUAUCAGUUUGUGAGUUGGGACCGCACCUAUAUCGAUCGGUCAUUCAUUCUGUCAGUUUCAGUUCAGUUCGAGUUGGGACCGCACCUAUAUCGAUCGGUCAUUCAUCCAUCUUCCUUUUAGUUUGAGUCGGGGCCGCACCCAUAUCGACCGGCCAUUUUCCUAUCAGUUUGUGUUUAGUUUGAGUCGGGACCGCACCCAUAUAGAUCGGUCAUUCAUUCUUUCUAUCAGGCCAGUUCGACGUUCAGGUCUUUGUUUCAGUAUGACAUUCAAAGUCACUUUCCUCACCUGGCUACUCUGGUGCUUAUUGCUUAUUCAUCAGGCUCUUCUAGAUUUCCCCUUUAACUGCACAUGACAUAGUUCUUUGAGUUCGUGACACAUACUUUUGUCAUGUUAUUGGGCACCCUACACUCGGCAUUCUCGUAUAGCUCGCCUAGGGCAGUCUCCUUUGAGCGUAGUCUUUUCUAUACUCCAGGGUGGUUCGACCGUUACUCAUCUUUGACAUCGAUUUUCGAGUCACUUUUGGAGAUAUCUUAGAAGGAUCCUGGAUCCUUAGUGUGGCUUCAAAGGCAUUUUGAGACAUCUCUCUCUUUUAGGAUUAGAGACCUUGUUGUUCAUUUUGCUAGCCUGAGUGAGUUUAUAUCUCACUAGUGUCCCUAUGGGGGUCUUCUUGGUUCUUCGGUAGAGUUCACUUCAUUGCACUCACUAUUCACACGUACUUUUCACUCCAGUGUUCAUGUUCCUUACACUCGUGAACUCUACCAAAGAGGGGCAUAUUUGUAGACCCCCUUUGAAGAGCAUAGGGGUAUUUAGUUUUUUUUAUAUAUAUUAAAGGAGCUGGCAGCACCCGAGAAGUGUGGGGGGGACCCCUCUCCAUGCGUGGGACCAAUUGCAAGAGACGCCAUGCUGCUGAUGAAGGAAGCCAUGCUGCUGACUGCUGAAACAGGGAAGCAGGUGAUGGCUUGCCCGAGAAGGUAGGAACCGACUGGAAAGAAGAAGAAAAGAAAAGAAAAAAAAGAGGAGCGAAAAAAGAGGAGGCUGCGGUGGAGGGGGUCCAGAGAGGUUCUUUGAGUUAGAGGAAGAAGCUUGGCCGAAAGCAGGGUAGCAGACGGAUUUUCUAGAGAAAAGCUUGGAGUCCUGUUGGUUUUUUUUUUUUGCUGGAGAAAAACUUCCUCAGGUAUGGUUACUGCAAGCUUAUUGAUGUUUUGGUUGUUACCUCCCUUCCAUAUCUCUUGUUGAUGUUUGAAUAUUUGUUGGUUUGCUUGGGGUGGGUAAUGAAGGCCACCUGUUGUUUGUUGAGAUAUGAUCCUAAACUCAUGUUUGAGGUUGUUAAUCUUAAUAUGUCAUGCUUCUACUGUGAAAUAUUCCACAAUCAUGCCAAUAGUUGUAUUUGUUGUGUUUAUUCUCACCUGAUCGGAGGGCUCACUGGUGGCUCAUGAGUGAAGCCUUAGUUGAGGAUAUCUUCAUCUGCCGUUUCUCAUGCUCUGUUUCCAUUAUUGCUUGCUUGUUGUGGCUGCUCCUUGUUCCUGGACCGUGUUAAAUGCAUGGACUGUGAGAGAGGAAAUCUGGCUGUGACCCCUUGCGAAGAUACAGAUCCUCAAGGUUUUGAUGUCAUCAGAGAAUAAAGUUGCUCCGAAGAGAUUUCGGCUAUUAUUUUGGAAGGUGACUUGAACAGCGAUGGAAAGGAGAAGUUAAACAAAUUAAUACCCAUUUGUCCUCAUGCAUGCGUGCCUACCCAUUUAACCCUCUCUUGAUACCUAUUCCAGCGCAUGCAUGGCUGUCCCAAAGCUCCUUCCAAAACUCUUGUUAAUAUCCCAGAUUUAUCCACCCAUGUGCAAGAGGAUCAUGCUAACCUGGUUAUUCUUCAUAUGCCCAUUUCUCAUUUUCCAUACAUGACACUUUCACCUUUCAUGCUCAUACCCCACCAUACCCACAGCCGUAUUCACCACCAUGCCCACAUUUCCUUCUUCUAAACCCGCUGUUGGCAACCCAACCUUCCAACCUCGUGCAUACGUGCCCAUACCCACUACCCAAAUACCCCACUUAUCCAUCUCUUACCCGUUUCUCUCUCUAUAUUAUCACCAUACCCAUACCAUGCUCGUCCUCAUUAGCCAAGACCACCUUGCAUACCCACAAAGUUCAUCACCUAUUGCUCUUCAUACCAAACAUCUUCCAUUUCAUCAAUCACCGAAAACCCUUUUUCUCACUGUUUUAAUGUUCCUUUCUUACCAAUCCUCUUGCCAUCUCACCCACGUCUACGUUACCCAUGCACGCAUGGCUGCCCAGGUUGUUGUGAGUCUCCUCUAAGGUCCCGAAUCUACCUAGCCUUCAUAGUGGCAGCAGGAGCAUAAAAAAAAAAAA